GCAGGAUAUGUGUUCCCCUCUGCCCCGCUCCCAUUCCGAUGCCCUCUCAGCCUCUGACCCCGGCUCUCAGUCCGCCGCUUCAGGCCUUGGCGCAGCCACAGAGAGUUGGCGCGGCUCUGUGUUGACCAAACCUAGUGGGUGCAGUUAGCGCUGGAGCCCUGCCCCGCCCAUCACCAGGGUUAUUUCCGCCUUCUAGGUUUGCCAGGACCGCCGGCCUUCCAGCUGCUUUCUCCCCCAGGUUUUUGGCUACUGAUGUUACAGACAAUACAAUAUUGGAGCAUAGAGUUGAAGAAAAGACUCAAACCAGGUUUGUAUUUAAUUAGUUAAAAAUAUGGAUCCCGAAACAAGAGGACAAGAGAUUAUCAAAGUGACACCUCUUCAACAAAUGCUUGCCUCAUGUACUGGAGCUAUACUGACAUCACUAAUAGUGACACCCCUGGAUGUUGUUAAAAUUAGACUCCAAGCCCAAAACAACCCACUCCCCAAAGGAAAAUGUUUUGUAUAUAGUAAUGGUCUCAUGGAUCAUCUAUGUGUCUGUGAAGAAGGAGGCAACAAACUGUGGUAUAAGAAGCCAGGAAAUUUCCAGGGAACAUUGGAUGCCUUUUUAAAAAUCAUUCGAAAUGAGGGCAUUAAAUCUCUGUGGAGUGGCCUUCCUCCUACCCUAGUGAUGGCAGUUCCUGCCACAGUUAUUUAUUUUACCUGCUAUGAUCAAUUAAGUGCUCUUCUGAGAUCUAAGUUAGGAGAAAAUGAAACCUACAUACCAAUUGUUGCUGGAAUUGUAGCCAGAUUUGGUGCAGUAACUGUGAUAAGUCCACUAGAAUUGAUUAGAACCAAGAUGCAGUCCAAGAAGUUUUCUUACACGGAACUGCAUCGAUUUGUCAGCAAGAAAGUAUCUGAAGAUGGUUGGAUUUCCCUUUGGAGGGGCUGGGCUCCUACUGUUCUUAGAGAUGUACCUUUCUCAGCAAUGUACUGGUAUAACUAUGAAAUUUUAAAGAAGUGGUUAUGUGAGAAGUCUGGUUUAUAUGAGCCAACAUUUAUGAUCAACUUUACUUCAGGGGCAUUGUCUGGUUCUUUUGCAGCUAUUGCAACUUUACCAUUUGAUGUAGUAAAAACACAAAAGCAGACACAACUUUGGACAUAUGAAAGUCAUAAAAUUUCUAUGCCUUUGCAUAUGUCAACCUGGGUUAUAAUGAAGAACAUUGUUGCUAAAAAUGGAUUUUCCGGAUUAUUUUCAGGCCUAAUUCCUCGCUUAAUUAAAAUUGCUCCUGCUUGUGCCAUUAUGAUCAGUACAUAUGAAUUUGGAAAGGCUUUUUUCCAGAAACAAAAUGUUCGAAGGCAGCAGUACUAGUGAUGCUGUUUCAACUUGAAACAACAACUAUAACCAAAGAAGAUGGAGACUCUUAGGAAAACUAUUCACGAUGGUUAUUUAACUGCAUGUGUUUUUUAAAAUUUUCCCUCUUGGAACAACAUCUACUGGGGUCUGUCAAAGGGUGGAGAGUGGGAGGUGGGAGAGGGACAGGAAAAAUAACUAAUGGGUACUAGGCUUAAUACCUGGGUGAUGAAAUAAUCUGUACAAUAAACCCCCACGACACACAACGUUACCUAUAUACAAACCUGCACAUGUACCCCUGAACUUAAAAUUAAAAACAAAUUCUUCCCUCUUUUUGUCUUGGGCACAAGUGUUUGGGGUGUGGACAAGUUUAUUGUAUCCCUUUUGAAUUUUCUUCUAAGAUGAACUUUUCAAAUAAAAGAUUACUGCUUUUAUAUUUUAAUCUGUCAGCAUUUAUUGGGACAUUUUUUGUAGUAGGCAGUAUAAAAAAAGCACUGGAGACAAGACAUUUCAGAUAUUGUUACUGGCCACAGGAGGUUUCAGAGCUAUGACUGAUUGCUAGAAGCAUGCAAAGGGAGUCAUGGGAAAUAUGGGGAGUUGUUCACUCAGCCUGGGGGCAGAGAAGGGGAGUGGUCAGGAAACCUAAGAGUUGGACUGACAGGCAAUCCAAUUAGUAAAUACGCAGGGAAGUGGGAGUCUCAGUAAGGCAGUGGAAUUUAGUCCAUAUGGCUUGAACAAAAUGUAUACAUGGAAAUGUAGUAAGAGAUCAGACUGGAAAUGUAGUCAAAGGCCUUGUGUGCUAAAGGAGGAACAAGAAGGCCAUGGGAAGCCUAGGAAAAAAUUUCCGGCACAGUUGUAACAGUUAGACUUGGGUUUUGGAAAGAUAACUAGCAGUAUGGAAAAUGGGGCUUAUGAUAAGGUGAUCUGUGUUAGAAAUCUAAAAGUUUUGGUUUGUAUUAAAAUAAUACACUUUUUAAAUGUACCAUAAUGAAAAAGAGGUAAUUUUAUCUUCCCUUUCCUGUCAGUUAAAACGACAAAUGCUAAAACCAAAUCGAAGCUGCUUUGCUUUCAGAAGAGCAGAAUGAACCAGUCUUGUGACACUUAAGCGGUAAUCCAAUAUGUUUAGCAAAAUCUGGACAUUUCAUCUAAUGAUAGGAACUUUAACAAAUCAGUUUUCUAAGUUGUAAAUUUGGGACACAUUUAUAACCACUUAAAAACUGUAUGUAAAUCUAAUGAUUUAACAACUAACUUAUGAUUUACUUUUUCUGCCAAUCAUAAUUAGUAGCUUGCAUUUGGCCUUUAUCUCUUUAGAACUUUUAUAUAUGAUUUUAUUUAAUGCUUACAUCAUCCUGAUGCCAUCUCAUAGGUGUCAAGAAGAUAGUGAUGAUUCUUACAAAGAAAGCAAACAUGACUAUUUUAUAAUUAAAUCAGUAACACUGCCAGAACCACUACUAAACUGUACUGAUUCAAUAGAUGUGUAUUCUAAAGCAUAUCAUGUUACUUUUUAAAAAUAGGAUAUUUAACUUGACGUGAGUUGGAAUAAGGAUUUCUCCGAUUCCAUUUUCAUGUUAGUAUUUUAGGUGUGAAACAAUAUAUAUUUACCACAUUUGCUGAAACAAAAGUUUAGUGUGCAAGUUAAAUCAGUUAACUUUUUGUCAAGCAAAAUAAGACCACCAAUGCAUAGUACAAAAUGUUUAAUAUACAUGCAACAAGUAUAGUAUGCAUCAAGGCAACAGAAUACACAUGGAAAUAUUGGCGUAUAAUUCAGCAUUCUUUUGGAGGCAAGAGGGGUGGGUGAACAGUAAACACUACCAAACUAAAAUUAAAGAUUGAGACAUACAUUGUUUCUUCAUGCAAACAGUAACUACCUUUAGUGUGAAAUGAACUGUGUAGAAACCUGAUUUUAUAACAGCAGAUGAAUUUUACACCAAGAUCUCCAAGAAAGGAGGAAAAGUCAUGAUCCUCAGAUGUAAUGUUUAAAUCUGCAUUUAGCAGCAUGUUAAGAUGCACAAAUUAUACAUUAGACAGAUCUGAAAAAUUUUACGAUUAUGGAAUCUUGAAUUUCCUUCUACAUUAUAAAAAUGUAUGUAAAACCAUUGUUUAAUUACUAAAGGAUAAUAAAUGUUAGUUGAGAGUGGACCAUGAAUGAUAAAGCAUUUAAACAUUCUGAUCGUUCAUAGGAAAGCAGCAAUAGUGCUCAAGUCCGGGAUAAAAUUUUCAAAUUUCUCCUUAUCCAUUUCCUCACUCCCUUCUCCCAAAGUUUCCAUUGUCCUAUUAUACCUACCUUCCAUCCCCCAAGCUGAUGAAAACCUGCUUUGGAUACUUCACUCACAAUCAGGUAUACAGAAUUGAGAAACUGAGAACAAAAAUGUGUCAUUUCUCAAGAAUAUUCGCAUUUCUACAAGUAUUAAAGCCUUAAGCUAAAGGAAUAAAGCUCUGAAUAUGUUCUGGCACAUCUAAGAUAACUUAUUUUAAGGGCUUCCAGGCCUUUGUCCCCGAAGUGACACUGUUUGACUGUCUUACAUAUAAGAUUUGCCUUGUUACUACUUACUAUCUUAAAUUCCAAAUUAUGAGACUAAGCUGUAAAUUUUGCAGAAAACUACCACACUCCUACAUUUCUAACACAAAGAAUGAAUGUGGUAACGUCGGUUCUUGACUCUUCUCAAUAAACAAAAAUACCAUAUGAAGUCCCCAAUAAGUACUGUGGCCUCAUCAUGUAAACAAUGUAUAAAAUUUCUUUGGCACAGCUAAUCAUGUUUUCCUCAUAUUACUUACUAUAGAAAAUACACGCCAUACAUUUUCAGUAUGGUGGGAUUUUUAGGAAUUAAUGUAGCUGUUUCAAAAAUUCCAAAAGAAAUAAAA